rnacentral:rRNA from 1 species
AGUGAACGCUGGCGGUAGGCCUAACACAUGCAAGUCGAACGGCAGCACAGUAAGAGCUUGCUCUUACGGGUGGCGAGUGGCGGACGGGUGAGGAAUACAUCGGAAUCUACUUUUUCGUGGGGGAUAACGUAGGGAAACUUACGCUAAUACCGCAUACGACCUACGGGUGAAAGCAGGGGAUCUUCGGACCUUGCGCGAUUGAAUGAGCCGAUGUCGGAUUAGCUAGUUGGCGGGGUAAAGGCCCACCAAGGCGACGAUCCGUAGCUGGUCUGAGAGGAUGAUCAGCCACACUGGAACUGAGACACGGUCCAGACUCCUACGGGAGGCAGCAGUGGGGAAUAUUGGACAAUGGGCGCAAGCCUGAUCCAGCCAUACCGCGUGGGUGAAGAAGGCCUUCGGGUUGUAAAGCCCUUUUGUUGGGAAAGAAAAGCAGCAGGUUAAUACCCCGCUGUUCUGAGGGUACCCAAAGAAUAAGCACCGGCUAACUUCGUG